CUGACCUCGUGAUCUGCCUGCCUUGGCCUCCCAAAGUGCUGGGAUUACAGGCCUGAGCCACCGCGCCUGGCCUACAACUUUUUCCAUAGUGUAUGUCCUAAUUUAUCUUUACACCAACAAUGCAUAAGAUUUUCCCUUUAUGCAAAUCCACACCAGCAUUCUUUUUAAUUUUAAAGAUAUUUUCAGUUACAUUUAUUCCAGUAGAUGUGGGAUGGUACCUGAAUGUGGUUAUGGAGUACAUUCUUUUCUAACGUAUAGUAAUGUUGAGGACCUUUUAUGUGUUUGUGCGUUUUAUAUCAUUUUUGCAGCGAUGUCAAUUCAGGUUUUCUGCCUGAUUUCAGUUUGGGUGUGUAUUUUUUAUGCUAUUUGGUAUUUUUUUUUUUCUGUAUACACGUUUGAUAACAACCAGUUAUCACUUCUAUGAUUCCCUCCUAUUUUCUCAUAAUCUUUUUCUUUUUUGAGACAGGUCACUCUCACCCAAGCUGGAGCACCGUGGCACAUCACAGGAUAAUGUAUAUUGGAAUAUUGGCUACCUACAGCUUUGCAGCGCAAUUUGAUAUCAGGAAUUCCUCAGGAGACCACUCCUGUUCUUUCUGCUUCUUGAAGGUUAAGUUUUUGGAUUCAAUCUGGGUGGGCUAUGAACAGGCCAACUGCAAGGGCGAGCAGUUUGUGUUUGAGAAGGGCGAGUACCCCUGCUGGGACUCGUGGACCAGCAGCCGGAGGACGGACUCCCUCAGCUCCCUGAGGCCCAUCAAAGUGGACAGCCAAAAGCACAAGAUCGUUCUCUAUGAAAACCCCAACUUCACCAGGAAGAAGAUGGAAAUCAUAGAUGACGACAUACCCAGCUUCCACGCCCACGGCUACCAGGAGAAGGUGUCAUCUGUGCGGGUGCAGUGUGGCAUUCCUGCAGGUGGGUUGGCUACCAGUACCCCGGCUACCAUGGGCUGCAGUACCUGCUGGAGAAGGGAGACUACAAGGACAGCAGCGACCUCGGGGCAUGUCACCCGCAGGUACAGUCCGUGUGCCACAUCUGUGAUACGCAGUGGUACCAAUGUUGGCGCCUUCCACCCCUCCAACUAGUGCCCUCCCCACCAUGCCUCCUUCCCAGGACCCAGACCUGCUGCCCAGGAACCCUCCAGACCUCCCAGAGAGAACAUGGAUGAAGCUGGAAACCGUCAUUCUCAGCAAACUAACACAGGAACAGAAAACCAAACACCGCAUGUUCUCACUUACAAGUGGGAGUGGAAAAACGAGAACACAUGGACACAGGGAGGGGAGCAUCACACACCCAGGCCUGUCGGGUUAGGGGGCAAGGAGAGAGCAUUAGGACAAAUACCAAAUGCUUGCAGGGCUUAAAACCUAGACGAUGGGUUGAUGAGUGCAGCAAUCCACCAUGGUACAUGUAUACCUAUGUAAGAAACCUGCACGUUCUGCACACGUAUCCCAGAACUUAGAAAAAAACAGUUAAGUGCUCAAUAAAUGUUACUGUCAUCUAUUUCUUCAUUCAUUCUUCAACCAAUACCUACUGCGUGCCUAUUUGGAUACUUGGCUUAGCACCUGGGUGAUGAAAUAAUCUACAACAAAUCCCCAUGACACGAGUUUAUAACAAACCUGCACAUGUACCUCCGAACUUAAAAGUUAAAAAAACAGAAUCCACACAAGUCUAAGCUACUUCCCUUGAGGAAAAGACUCCAGCUGAGAUCUCAAGGAAGAGUUAGAGGUUGCAGGGCUAAAGAGGCUAAAGAAGAGUGUCCCAGAUGAGAGUGGCAUGUGAAAGGCCUUGUGGUGGGAGGAGCCUGAUAGCUCUGAGAAACUCCACAAAGGCACGGUGGUGGCUGGAAUGCUCAGAGAUGUGGGGGCACAUGGAAAACCUUGUUAAAAGUGGUUAAAAUGAUUAUCAUAAAGGUGGAAACUAAUAAACACUAAAUAAAUGUUA